rnacentral:rRNA from 1 species
GAGCGAAGCGUAUUAGCGGACGUUUUCGGAUGGAAGCAGAUAUGACUUAGCGGCGGACGGGUGAGUAACGCGUGGAUAACCUGCCUCAUACAGGGGGAUAACAGUUAGAAAUGACUGCUAAUACCGCAUAAGCGCACAAGACCGCAUGGUCCGGUGUGAAAAACUCCGGUGGUAUGGGAUGGAUCCGCGUCUGAUUAGCUGGUUGGUGAGGUAACGGCCCACCAAGGCGACGAUCAGUAGCCGACCUGAGAGGGUGGCCGGCCACAUUGGGACUGAGACACGGCCCAAACUCCUACGGGAGGCAGCAGUGGGGAAUAUUGCACAAUGGGGGAAACCCUGAUGCAGCAACGCCGCGUGAGUGAAGAAGUAUUUCGGUAUGUAAAGCUCUAUCAGCAGGGAAGAAGAAAGACGGUACCUGACUAAGAAGCCCCGGCUAACUACGUGCCAGCAGCCGCGGUAAUACGUAGGGGGCAAGCGUUAUCCGGAUUUACUGGGUGUAAAGGGAGCGUAGACGGCUGUGCAAGUCUGAAGUGAAAGCCCGUGGCUCAACCGCGGAACUGCUUUGGAAACUGUAUAGCUUGAGUACUGGAGAGGCAGGCGGAAUUCCUAGUGUAGCGGUGAAAUGCGUAGAUAUUAGGAGGAACACCAGUGGCGAAGGCGGCCUGCUGGACAGAAACUGACGUUGAGGCUCGAAAGCGUGGGGAGCAAACAGGAUUAGAUACCCUGGUAGUCCACGCGGUAAACGAUGAAUGCUAGGUGUUGGGGAGCAAAGCUCUUCGGUGCCGUCGCAAACGCAGUAAGCAUUCCACCUGGGGAGUACGUUCGCAAGAAUGAAACUCAAAGGAAUUGACGGGGACCCGCACAAGCGGUGGAGCAUGUGGUUUAAUUCGAAGCAACGCGAAGAACCUUACCAAGUCUUGACAUCCUCCUGAAUGAUGGGUAAAGCCGUCAGGCCUUCGGGACAGGAGAGACAGGUGGUGCAUGGUUGUCGUCAGCUCGUGUCGUGAGAUGUUGGGUUAAGUCCCGCAACGAGCGCAACCCUUAUCCUCAGUAGCCAGCGGCCAGGCCGGGCACUCUGUGGAGACUGCCAGGGAGAACCUGGAGGAAGGUGGGGAUGACGUCAAAUCAUCAUGCCCCUUAUGAUUUGGGCUACACACGUGCUACAAUGGCGUAAACAAAGGGAAGCGAAGUGGCGACACGGAGCGAAUCCCAAAAAUAACGUCUCAGUUCGGAUUGUAGUCUGCAACUCGACUACAUGAAGCUGGAAUCGCUAGUAAUCGCGGAUCAGAAUGCCGCGGUGAAUACGUUCCCGG